GGAGAAAUACUCAAGUGGCCGAAGAGGCGCCCCUGCUAAGGGUGUAGGUCGGGAAACCGGCGCGAGGGUUCAAAUCCCUCUUUCUCCG
rnacentral:tRNA from 1 species